CCUACGGGUGGCAGCAGUGAGGAAUAUUGGUCAAUGGGCGAGAGCCUGAACCAGCCAAGUCGCGUGAGGGAGUACUGCCCUAUGGGUUGUAAACCUCUUUUGUCGGGGAGCAAAAGCCGGACGUGUCCGGCUGUGAGAGUACCCCAAGAAAAAGCAUCGGCUAACUCCGUGCCAGCAGCCGCGGUUAUAAGGAGGAUGCGAGCGUUAUCCGGAUUUUUUGGGUUUAAAGGGUGCUCAGGCGGAUUUUUAAGUCAGCGGUCAAAUCGUGGGGCUCAACCCCAUCCAGCCGGUGAAACUGGUGAGCUAGAGUGUGCGAGAGGUAUGCGGAAUGCGUGGUGUAGCGGUGAAAUGCAUAGAUAUCACGCAGAACCCCGAUUGCGAAGGCAGCAUACCGGUGCACAACUGACGCUCAGGCACGAAAGCGUGGGUAUCGAACAGGAUUAGAUACCCGAGUAGUC
rnacentral:rRNA from 1 species